CUGAGGGUAUUUCUCCAAGGGGAGACUCAUUGAAAUGUGUAGAUUUGUAGUUCUAUUUAAUUCCUCUUUCUGUUAUAUUUUAUUUUUCUGUUUUCUCUUCCACCAAUAUUUUCAUCAUGAUGAUAUCAUCAACCGUUAUCUCGACGUAUGAUGAUGCAUGCAUGCAUAUACGAGUUGUGUGUAUUCUUGUUGGUCAUGAAGUUGUCUACAUGUAUGUCUAUGUGCGUAUGGUCCGUAUGUGAUCCGAGAGGUCAAUAAAUAUUAAAUAGGAGAGAAACUAAAUACCGUUGAAGGGGGAAGGUUCAUGACUUCAUGAAUGCCGAUGCAACAUUAAUACCACAAUAACUCUCACUCCCAAUUUUCAAUAUAUAACACCAAAAAAUACACACAUCUACCCUUAUUGUUAGUAUUAUCUUAGUAUUGAAAAU
rnacentral:lncRNA from 1 species